rnacentral:rRNA from 1 species
UCGGAUGUGAAAUCCCCGGGCUCAACCUGGGAACUGCAUUCGAAACUGGCAGGCUUGAGUCUUGUAGAGGGGGGUAGAAUUCCAGGUGUAGCGGUGAAAUGCGUAGAGAUCUGGAGGAAUACCGGUGGCGAAGGCGGCCCCCUGGACAAAGACUGACGCUCAGGUGCGAAAGCGUGGGGAGCAAACAGGAUUAGAUACCCUGGUAGUCCACGCCGUAAACGAUGUCUACUUGGAGGUUGUGCCCUUGAGGCGUGGCUUCCGGAGCUAACGCGUUAAGUAGACCGCCUGGGGAGUACGGCCGCAAGGUUAAAACUCAAAUGAAUUGACGGGGGCCCGCACAAGCGGUGGAGCAUGUGGUUUAAUUCGAUGCAACGCGAAGAACCUUACCUGGUCUUGACAUCCACAGAACUUUCCAGAGAUGGAUUGGUGCCUUCGGGAACUGUGAGACAGGUGCUGCAUGGCUGUCGUCAGCUCGUGUUGUGAAAUGUUGGGUUAAGUCCCGCAACGAGCGCAACCCUUAUCCUUUGUUGCCAGCG